UGAUCUCAAAUCAGGUAAGAAUACCCGCUGAACU
rnacentral:rRNA from 1 species